rnacentral:rRNA from 1 species
GACGAACGCUGGCGGCGUGCCUAAUACAUGCAAGUCGAACGAGUGGCGGACGGGUGAGUAAUAUAUCGGAACGUACCGAGUAAUGGGGGAUAACUAAUCGAAAGAUUAGCUAAUACCGCAUAUUAUUCGAGCGGCGGAUAGCUGAUUAGUUAGUUGGUGGGGUAAAGGCCUACCAAGGCGACGAUCAGUAGCGGGUAUGAGAGGAUGAUCCGCCACACUGGGACUGAGACACGGCCCAGACUCCUACGGGAGGCAGCAGUGGGGAAUUUUGGACAAUGGGCGCAAGCCUGAUCCAGCCAUGCCGCGUGUCUGAAGAAGGCCUUCGGGUUGUAAAGGACUUUUGUCAGGGAAGCGGUACCUGAAGAAUAAGCACCGGCUAACUACGUGCCAGCAGCCGCGGUAAUUC